AUCUGGCUGUCGAGAUGCCUAAAAAGCAUUUCAUAGCAAGGGCCGGGCAAGACCGGUGCCAGCCGCCGCGGUAACACCGGCGGCUCGAGUGGUAACCGUUAUUAUUGGGUCUAAAGGGUCUGUAGCCGGCCGGAUAAGUCUCUUGAGAAAUCUGGCAGCUUAACUGUCAGGCUUUCAGGAGAUACUGUCUGGCUCGAGGCCGGGAGAGGUGAGAGGUACUUCAGGGGUAGGGGUGAAAUCUUGUAAUCCUUGAAGGACCACCAGUGGCGAAGGCGUCUCACCAGAACGGACCUGACGGCAAGGGACGAAAGCUAGGGGCACGAACCGGAUUAGAUACCCGGGUAGUCCUAGCCGUAAACGAUACUCGCUAGGUGUCGGCCACGGUGCGACCGUUGUCGGUGCCGUAGGGAAGCCGUGAAGCGAGC
rnacentral:rRNA from 1 species